UGGGGAAUAUUGGGCAAUGGGGGCAACCCUGACCCAGCAACGCCGCGUGAAGGAAGAAGGCUUUCGGGUUGUAAACUUCUUUUACCAGGGAAGAAACAAAUGACGGUACCUGGAGAAAAAGCCACGGCUAACUACGUGCCAGCAGCCGCGGUAAUACGUAGGUGGCAAGCGUUAUCCGGAUUUACUGGGUGUAAAGGGCGUGUAGGCGGGAUUGCAAGUCAGGUGUGAAAUUUAGGGGCUUAACCCCUAAACUGCAUUUGAAACUGCGAUUCUUGAGUGAUGGAGAGGCAGGCGGAAUUCCUAGUGUAGCGGUGAAAUGCGUAGAUAUUAGGAGGAACACCAGUGGCGAAGGCGGCCUGCUGGACAUUAACUGACGCUGAGGCGCGAAAGCGUGGGGAGCAAACAG
rnacentral:rRNA from 1 species